GUGCUCACUUCAACAGCACAUAGAUUAAAAUUGGAAUGAUACAGAGACUAGCAAGCCCCUGUGAAAGAAUGACAUGCAAAUUUUUAUAGUUUUGACAUCCAUAUUUUU